ACAACAAGCUGGGGGAGCCCGCAGGGGCUGAGAGGGGAGUGCAUCCCGACCCUUUGAACCUGACGCAGUUCAUACUACCGGAGGGAAGCUGACUCGCCACUCG
rnacentral:ncRNA from 2 species